CUGAACCUAUUAGACCUGCACACGGAAACAAAAAAAAAACUCAUAUGUUGAGUACUGUAUACUCGGAGAUGCUAAUAUAAUUCAAAUUCAAUACAUCAAAAGAUUAAAUUAAUAAAAAAUGUACAAAAGUAUAGCAUUAAUAAUACUACUUUAUCCCCCUUUUUUUUUCUUUUUCAUUAUAGAAUCAAUCAUUAUAAUACCAAACUAAAUAGAUUUAUAACAUCGUCAUAUGAAUUCAUACCAACCUAUCGAAGGUUCAUGCCACCUUCAAGGUAUUAUGGCCAACAUUUUCCAUUUCUUUCACAUGUGAAUGAUGUAUACUAAUCAUUCAUAUAGUUUCCAAUUUUCUCAAUUUCUAUAAAUCAUCACUCAAUAUUCAUUUCAACAAUUCAAAAUUUUCAUGUCACAAUAUAUUCAAUACUCAACAUAUAAAUUCACUUUCACCUUUUGCUACUUACUUAUUUUGGCCCCUAUUUACCGAUGGUAGACACUAGGACAGAUACUCAGAUAUAUAUAAAUAAUAAGUCCACAGCUCUGUAGGAAUUGGGGCUAUUUUAUUUUGUCAUCCUGAGUUGCCCGACAACGAUGGCAUUUUAGUAUUUGUCUUGACUAUUUUAUACUACCAUCAUAGGUUGCUUGACAAUAAUGGUUUUAGUACUUGCUCAUGACUCUUAGUGAAUUGGAACUAGUAAAUCACUAUAUCAGAGAUCUUAUAGCAUGCCAGUUAUACCCAGACUAAACCUAACAUCGUUUAAUGGGGCAAAAUCAUUAUUAAAUAUUAUUUAACACAUAUCAAUAUUCAACAUUAUAGCAUCACUAUUGUAUUAUCAAUCAUAACUCAAAUAUGCAAUCACAUUAUCAAUGCAUCCUUUUUUUUAUCACCAACACUUAUAAGUUCAAAUCAUAUUAGUUAUGUAUAUCAUACGUUAUCAAUAAUCAUCAUAAUAUCAAGAUUUCAUUAUUUAUAUAUAUUGAGCAUAUACAUUUAUAAAGCACAAAUUCAAUCAUUUAUAACAUGAUUAGACAAUCUAAAUAUCAAAUUCAUCAUCACAAGCUUUUAAGGAAAGAUACAAUUACCUCAGCAUUUAUUUUUUAUUCGAUUAUAAUGACUAACUAAUCUACGAAUGAAUAAUUGGAAGUGAAUUAUAGUAGCACAAAUCGCAGUAACUAUUCGACGUUCGCCUUUUCCUUUCCAUUCGUCUUUGACUUUCCAGCAUUAUCCUCUACUAUGUUUGAUAAUACGGUUUCAAAAAAAUAUUAAUUUCUCAAUCAUAUACACAUUAACAAUAAUUAAAUACGAAUGCAUUUUAUUCAUUUUAGUCCUUAUAAACCCUAAUAUCUAAAAUGCUCAUAUUUCUCGAUAUUUAGUAUCGAAUCAAAAUUUGAUUUCAUAUUCUUUCAUUAGGGACCUUAUACUUGUAAUCUAUAACAUAAUUUCAUAACAGCCUUCAAUUUAUUCAAUUUAAUUCCCAAUGUCAUAAAUAAGCUAUAUAGCUUAGUUGGAUUCCUAAUCAAUUCCAACUCCUUUCUCUACAUUUUAAUUUAGUCGUAACAUACCCCAAACUCAUGCUUCAAGUAUCUUGAAUUUAACUUAACAAUUCAAAAUUCUAACACAUGGGUAAGACAUGUUAAGCUAAUAUGAUCAAAAUUCCAUAAAAAUUUUAAAGGAAUUAACUUAUUUACCUUAAGGACGUUGGACCGAAUAACUAAUGGAAGCAAAAGAAGUUUUCUUUCUUUCUUUCAAGUUGAUAUACGGCACAACUAAGGAAGAUGAUAAUUUUUACAUUCUCUCUCCCACUUUCACAUAUGUAUAUGUACUUAGAUUAAUGUUAAGAUUAAGCUUAAUUAAUCUUAAUUAGUUAAUUAACAUAAAACCAUUUAAUAAUAUAAAUCAUGAUUAUAAUGAUGGAUGGAUUUAAUCAUUCCAUCCCACUAAUUUAAAAUUAUUUGGUCUAAUUGUUUUAUAGUCUCUAGUUUAAUUUCUAACUAGGUUCUUUUUUUCAUUUACUAAAUUAAAAGUCAAUAACAAUCACAUUUUUAUAAGUUAUUCCUUGUACUAUAAUUUUUAAUUGUUUUUAAUUUAAUUAUAUUUAGUAAUUUGUUCUACAAUUUCGUACGUUAUUAUUUUAUUAUAAUUUUCGGUUAAUUUAAUUUAAUAAAUUUAAUCAUAAAACUGAAAUUUUCGACCUUAUUAAAAUUCGAGUUAUUACAAAUUGGGCUUGGCGUGGACUUAGCAAGGAAUGGUAUUUUAGUGAAGCAAUCUCCUUAGCAAGAUAUGUUUAAUAGUUUUUCAAUAAAGUUUGGUUUCAAAACACUAUCGAAGCACGACGGACGGCGGUGAUCAAUGAUGACACUUCAGUAUGUUUUUUAAAAAAAUUAUUGGGGGUUUUUUUCUUUAAAUAGAAGUAAUUGCCAAAUGGAAAAAAAAAAUUAAGGGAUUUUCAAAUUGUUGAAACUAUGUUUAUAAUUGUGACUUUAACGUAACCUACAGAAAAAUUAUACUAUGUUAACAAUUGAACCAAUAUUAUUAAAUUUAAAAAAAUAGAAUAAUUUAAUGUCUUAAAAUUAAGACUUAAUUUAUAAUUUAACCUUUAAAAUAUAUAUUUUUUCCAUUUUGAUUCUUAAAAUUUUUCUUUUCAAUUAAGUACCUAAAAUAUCCAAAUGUUAUGGUUCUUAAUCCCAUCUUAAACCAACAUUAGUCUAUUUUCUUUUAUUAAAAAUAUAUAAACUUUAAAAAUUUAGAAAAAUAGAAAUAAAUAUAUAUAAAAAUUUAGGGAAAAAUCUAAUAUAUAAAAACUAUAAAAAUAGAAAGAAUUUAAUUUUUUGUUAAUUAUUAUUAAAUGUUCGUCUUAUUUACUUUUUUGUUAAAUAAAUCAUCAUCUUCUUCAACAAAGGUUACGCAAAUCUAAGAUCAUUUGACCAUCUACUUAGUGGUCAAUCUCACCUGCUGCACUACAUGAAACAAAAGCCAUGCCCAAAUUUAAUCUACUUGGUGCUUAAGUAAAAUUCCAAAGCCUAUUGAAGAUUAAAGCCAAGUACAAGAAGUAAACCAAAUUUCCAUUACAGUGUUGCAUUUCAUUCUGUUGCAAAGGUGAAGUUCAUCGCAACCCCAAAUUCCAACCUACUUGUCUUGUCCUGAGGUAGUCCCGAAAGACCAUUUGACAAUCUUCGUCCUCUCCCAUCGGCCAUCUCUACCAUUACCAUUUGACCAUUUUAACUCAAAGAAAUUAUAAGCAACCAAAAUUUCCACUCCAAAAAUUCCAUAACCACUAAUACCUUAAACUACCAUCUAAAUCCUCCAUAAACCACCAUUGCUAACCCCAUUAAAAACCCACUGCUAACACCCAACCCAAUAGCAACUAAAAUUUCAACUGCAAAAACCCCAAUCCUUGAAAUCCAUUCUCGAUCCGUUGCCAAUGAACACAGAAAAUUGAGGUUCAUUUGCUUGAAAUGGUGCUGGGUUGGUAAUAGUAAUAUAUUUAAUCUUUUUAAUAAAAAUAUAUUUUGAAAUGAAAAAUAAAAAUAAAAACAGUUGGCGUAAUCUAAUCCAUUUAAGAUUGGACUAAAAACCUUAAUGUUUGGAUACUUUAAGUAUCUAAUUAGGACAAAAAAAAAUUAAUAUCAAAUGAGAAAAGUGAUAUUCUUCAAAGUUCAAAUAGUGAAUUUUAAAGUAUAUAAAUUAAAAUUAAAAUUUGGUAAGAGUAUAUAGGGUUUUGUCUAAUCUUUUUGCAGGUUGAUUAGUGGUGAUUGGUCAGUCUUCAUUUCUUCCUAAUUUUGAAUCACUCAAACCCUUUUUCUGAAAUGGAAAAGUGAUGAAGUAUGCUAUCUUAUCCUGCUCUUUCAUCUACUCUUUAAAAAAACACACAAAAAGCAACUCAAGCUUUAAAGGUCAUAUGUGUUAACUUUUACUCUUUAAGCAUCAAGUUUAUUUUUAUAUAUAUGGUAAAAAGCAGAGGAUUUCAAUUUUUAUAUCAAAGUUCAACUCUACAAAAGGCAGUAAACAGAUUCCAUACUUGUAAUUUUCAGUGACUUUGAUCUUCUUUUUUUUUUCUUUAUUUGAUUGGGCUUGGAUGAUUUUGGAGGGAAUAACAAUUUUCUUUUUAAAUACUAUUUUUAGUUCAUCAGAUUUCGACAUUCUCCUUUAUUUCUAAAACCUCCAAUUUUGUAUGUUUAAGUUUGAAAUUCACUUUAUAUAAAUAAUGUGUAAGCUAUAUCUAAAUUUAUUUUAAUUUAAAUUUCACCAUACAAAUCUUGUCCAGAAAUACUUUUUUAUAUCAAAAGAAAUAAAAAUGCUUUCAGUUUUAUGCUUUCAUGCUACAACUAAAAUUAUAACUAUUUUCUUAUUAUAAAUUAGAACUUUUCAUAUUUUCCUUAAAAAAAAUUUGAUAUUUAUGAAAAAUAUAUAUAAUUUGAAAUUUAAGGAAUAAUAAUAUUUUCAAAAAGUAAAUAGUUUUGUUCUAGAUUAAUAUUGGGCAAUUUAAUUUUUUUUAAAAGAUUUGAUAGUUUAAUUAAGAAUAAUGAGUAGAUAUAUUGAAACGGAUAUAUAUAUAAAAAAAUUUGAUCACAUCAUUAUUCUUAUAAUUUUUUUAAUUAAUGACUUUAUUUUUUUUCUAUUUUAAUAAAUUAAAUUAGUAUUGUUUAACUCGUUCCAUCUGAUUCUAUAUAAUUAAAAUAGGAAAAUGUUAAUUGAUAAGUCAUAGUGUUUAUUAUAUAAAAGAAGCAUGUAUAUAAUAAAUUAUUUCUUUAAAUUGAAUUGAAAUAUUUGAUAUAAAAAUAUAUAAUUGAUUACUCAAAAUACAUAUAUUAAUUUAUUUGGCCUUCUGACUUUAUUAAAAAAAAUCAUUUUAGUUCUUCAUUUAAUUAUUUACCUAUUUUAAUCUAUAAGCUUGUAUUAUUUGUCAAAUUACACUAAAACGAAUGGAAAAGUCAACGUCUGUUAACUUUAUUGACGUAGCAUCCAUGUGAUAGUCCACGUGUAUGUCAUGUUAGUAAUUAAUUAUUUUAAAAAAAUUAAAAAAAUUUAUACUUUUUUAAAUAAAUUUUAAUUUUUAAAGUAUAUUGUAUAAUUUUAAAAAAAAAGUUAAUUAUUGAUGUGACAUUCAUGUGUAUGUCACAUCAAUAAAGUUAACAAACGUUAAAUUUUUUAUCUAUUUUAAAAGUGAUUUGACAAACCAAAUUUAAGGGUUGAAAGAGAAAAAUUAAAAGGACGACUAAAUUAUUUUUUUUAUAUAAAGCUGAAGACUUGAAUAAAUAUUUAUGACAAUUGAUAAUAUGUUAUUAUUUUUAAAUUAACGAAUUAAGUUAAAGUAAUGCUGAUUGGAGACGAGGAAUCAGUGAAUAUUUGGAACGAUCCCUGGACUUGGGGAUAGCAGAGUUAAAUGUAAGCAAAUAGAUAUAAGAUUUACCAAAGUCGCUGAUUUAAUUAACUCGGAGCAAGGUACCUGGAAAGAAGAUGUAAUUUGGGAGAUUGUCGAAGCUGACCAAGUAGAGGCUAUCUUAUCCAUCCCUAUAACCCAAACGAAACCACUAGAUCUCAAAUUUUGGGGAGUUGAAGGAACAGGGGAGUAUACAGUCAAAAGUGGAUACAAGCUACUAUUACAUGAAAACUUUUCCAACCAGAAAGCUCUUGUAACAGCCUGUUUUUAAAUGGUGCCAGAAACAAUGGUUUCGGGACCACAACUCUGUUCUAUCAGCCCGUAAAUAUUAAUUAUUAAAUAUGAAUGAGGUCAUUAGUGUCAUAUUAAAAUUUGGUUAUGAAAUUUUAUCGUUUAGAUAGUUAAUUAAGGGAAAAGGAUUAAAUCGUAAAAGUUGAGAAAGUUAAUUGCUAUUAAUUAAGGUUAUCAAAUAGCUAUAAAAAAGUUAAUUAAAGGUCUUGAAUAUUAAAUAGACCAUCAUUACUUGUUAUGGACGGUAGUGGGCUUACAAAUUGUGAAUGUUAAUUGUUUAUUAAAGGGAUAAACUUGUAAAUAGGUAAAUAAGUAUAAUAAAACAAAACAUGUUAAAAUUGUAUCAUCUUCUUCCUUUUCAUUUUAUCAAAAUUUAAACCUUAAAGGAGUUAAAAGGGAGAGUUUUCGACAAAUUUUGGUCCUUUAAUUCGAUAAGUAAACCUUGCCCGUUUUUAGUUUGAUAAGUAAACCUUGCCCGUUUUUAGUAAUUUUUAUAUUUUUGAGCUCGUAUUAGUUUGGUCUAGCUAACUUGAGAACUAAUUUGUAAAACUUUCAAACAUUCUGGAUAAUAUUAAGUUUGAGUUAUUCUUGAAGUUUUAUGGAAUAAUAUUAAGGUUGGUUGUUAGUUAGGACUAUUUUGUAAAGUAGUUUUUGCUGGUUUUAACGUUUAAGUGAGUUUGAGUUAUUCUUAAAGUUUUAUGGAAUAAUAUUAAGGUUGGUUGUUAGUUAGGACUAUUUUGUAAAGUAGUUUUUGAUGGUUUUAACGUUUAAGGACUAAAAUGUAAAAAUAGUAAAAUUACUUGUACUUGAUGUGAAAUAAUUGCAAAUAUGGAUUGAAGUGAGGCUCUUGAAUGUUCGGCUAAGCUUAUAUUUGAAUGAAAAUGGUUAAAUUGCAUGUUUUAAGCUUAGGGACUAAAUUGUAUAAAAGUAAAAUAUUUGGGGUAAUUUCGUAAAAAUGUCUUUGCUAUUGGUAUUGGUUGAUUGAAUGGAAUUAUUAUUUUAGAUCAAGCACGAGUUGGUAAUCGUAGAAAGGACAAGGUAGCUGAGUAGUCCUUGUACUUUGGUUGUUGCAGCAAAUCAGUCCAAUAAGUUCGUGCUAUUAUUUUAUGUUUAUAAUGAUUUCUUACACACUACAUGUUUUAUUAGAAGUUGAUCUAAUUUUGUAAUUAUCUAUUGAAUGCUUAAAGAAUAAAUAAUAAAUGAGUAUAAUGAGUACGUGGUAUACCUAAAUAGUAGGCCGUGGGCCGAUGAUUAUUUAGCAGGCUUUGAGUCAGUGAUCAUUUAUCAGGUACUAUGUACCGGUGAUACAGAAUGUAGCGAUGGCUUGAGAUCCUGCAUGUGUUGCAGAUUCUCUAUAGCUUGUAUGAGCAGCAUCGUGGGCCUGUUAAAAUUCUAAAGUUAAUUUGAAUGAAUGAUACCCUUUCGAUUACCUGAAAUGAGAUAUUGAUAGAACUAUGACUUGGUUAUGAUAAUUUAUCAUAUGGCAUUUUGAUUAUGUGAAUUAUCUAAGUAUAAGUGUUUUCGAAAAGUUGAAAUAAUAGUAAUUUGGAAUAUGAUUUGAAUUAUUGUAUUGUGCAUUACUCAUCUGUUGUGAGUUGUGACUGACAAGAACUUAUUUUUUUAAAUCUUAUACAUUGUUUAUUUAUGUUCAAACAGAUAAGAUUAUCGUUUAAUCAUCAAACUUACUAAGCUUCCAUAAACUUACUCGUAUCUUGUUCCUUUUCUUGUAGAUUACAUUUUAUGGAGGGGUGAUCUGAUCAACUCGCAAAAUCACACUAUCCUGAUGACUCUUUUGGUGGAUUUUGUAAACAUUGGUUAUAUGGCAUGUAAUAGGGCAAAUGAUUAUGUUGGAAAUGUUUCAUAACCUUAUGUGGUUUUUUGGUAUGUUUGAUGUUGUGGAAUGGUAACCUUAUAUGGUAUGCUUGUUAAACUCUAAGUUGAGCUUGAGUGUUUUGUCUAGGGAAUGGUAAGUGACAUGUUUAAGUACAAUAUGAUGAGAUUGAAAUAGAUUAGUUGGUGUGUAUGUUAUGACUUGUAGGUGAUAUGAAAUGAUAAUGUUUGGGUAUGGACAUUAUUUUGUAACUUCAAGUAUAACACCUUGGUUUGGUUUUAGGUGGUUCAAAUUGGCAUGUUUUGGUUGCUUUUAGGUGUGGUUAUAGUCUUGUGAUCAUGUGUUAUGAAUUGGUUUAGGUACCUAUGUAAUUGGAUGAAAAAUGAGCAUGAUUUUGGUUACUUUUAGGUACACAUGGCAUGGGACACGGGCUGUCACAUGACCGUGUGUCACACAUGGGCAAACUAUACAGACGUGUGCCCCUAGCAUGUUAGGUGCAGGAUUCACACAGGCUGACACAUGGGCUGUGACACGACUAUAUGACCCAAGUUAGAGAGCUACACAGCCCAUGCAUACAAGCGUGUAGAAUGGCCAUACGGCUAUGUCUGGAGCCACACAGUUUGAGCUUUAUCACACUGCCGUGUAACCCUAGUUUUGAAUUUUUUUCAUUUUGUCCCAAAUCUCCUAUUUUGUUUCGAAUUGGUCCCUGAUUGUUCCUAAACUAUUUUUAGGCCUCGUAAGCUCUAUUUAAGUCCCAUGAAUGUAUGUCUUGCUUCAUUCUGAAUUAUUUAUGAAUAUUGUCAAUUAAUUUGAUGAAUUAGAUGCAAUUGUUAUGGAAUGUUUUGCAUUGUACAGUAAUACUCCAUAACCCUAUUUCAGCGAUGGAAAUAGGUUAUGGGUGUUACAGCUCCUAACAAGCCUACUGCAACUCUGGGUACAAUUUUUUCUCUAUUCUAUGGGCUUUACAAAUUCCCCAAAAAAUAAAAAUUCACUUGUGGAAAGUCUACAAUGACUAUAUACCUAUUUAUGCUAACCUAAGAGAAAUCUCCCUAGUCUUGGUGCUUGCCCGUUGUGCCUUGAAGGUACUGAAUCAGUGGACCAUCUGAUCUGAGCUCGCCUAUGAACAACGAAGAGUUCGAACGAGAAGCAAUCACGUUUCCCAUUGGUCCAAUAACGCGAGCUAGAGCUAAACGUUUCAAAGAUGCUAUUUCAGCAAUGGUGGAACGGGUUGAGGAAAAUGAUAGCAAGAAGUUUAAAAACGAGAUGAACAUAUUCAACUUCUUUGAAGCUGAAUUUCGUUCUAGCUAAUUAAAUUGCUACUGGAAUUUUAGACCAUUUAAAUAAGCAUUUAAAUAAGUUUUAUUACAGCUUAUAAAUAUGUCUUUAGUUAAUAUAAGUGUUUAAUAUGUCUUGAUCUAGUUGAAUUAAAAGAUGUAUUGAUUUCAUUUAGUUUGUCUAAAUUAAUACAUGUCUUAAAUUUGUCCAGCCGAAUUUAUGUGUCAUGUUUUAUUAAUAUUUAAGUUGCUUCAAUGUUAAAUUAGGAUGUUCACAUUAUGCCUUUAUUUAGUUCAGCUAAAUUUGUUUGAAAUUAAUUAAGUUCAUGUGUAUUUUUAGGUGCAGCCGAAUUUGAAGAUUCAUUGGGCAGAUUUAUGCAUGAAGAUUCAAGGGAUGUGAAGAUGCAUGCAUGUUGGAUUCAAUGCACCAAAUGAUUCAUGCAUGGAAUGCAUUAAACAAGGUGUGCUGAUAUUUGAAGUCUUCUAUGUGACCAUUCAGCCAAAAGAGAUGAUUCUUCAUCCUCCAAGGCUGCCAUUUAUUUCCUUCACAUUGCUGGAUACAUUUUGGCCAUUCGGUUCAUGGUGUUCACACUCUAAAGGCUCUUCAAAACUGUCCAUUCACACCUAAUGUGGCUGCUCAAGUACUCUCUUUAUUAUUGAUAAUUUUUCAGCAAGAGUUACCUAUUGAAUGCUCAUUUAAGCCCAGUAGCCGAAUGUAGCUACUACAUGCAUCUCCAAGGUUCAUUUGCUUAAUGUGGAAGCUUCAUGUAUGGUCACCAUUCAGCCGAACCUACAUUGGCCAUUUUUGUUCAAUGUUUGCUUAGAAACUAAGUCUAGAAUAUGUCCAUUCGGCUACUAGGCAUUAGGCUAUAAAUAGUUACUCAUUUUCUUGUAAAAGGACUUUUGACAAAUUUCUGAAUGAAAUAUCAUUUUAGUAAGGCAAUUCACUCUCUUUAUUCUCCAAAGCUCAAAUUGACUUAUCUUCAACGAGUGGCGUCAAUCUGACUUUGUUUCGAACUUAUCACCAUUGGUGUGGCGUUCUUCAUACCGUAGGUUCCUAUUUUGCUAAAUAGAGGGUCUCGGUUAUUAUCCUAAUUCCUUUUCCUUUCUUUGAAACCUUAAGCCCGGGUCCUUAUUUGCUAAUAAGGGUUCGACUUGUUUCUUCAAAAUAUCCAUCAAACAACACUCUAUCAAACUCCUUUGUUUCCCAAAGCCAUUUAAUUUUAAACACCAAGACUUGAAUUUGUUUCGAAACCGACACUACCUAAUUUCGAUCGGGAAUUAAUACGACUCGUCACAUCUUCCGAAACGAGCUCGUAUCACCAUCUCCUUAGGUUUUGUUCAAUUACAGAACAAGUUCUGGGCUCUUUUCAUGUCAUCAGAUCUCCUUUCUCAAAGCACUCAAACCAUAGAUAUUGGUUAAUAGAAUCUUUCAACAUGGCAAAUGAUAAAAACAAAAGCUAUUGACAAUAACAAUAUGGUCUAUUUGGUUUGCCAGAAACUGAUUGAUGCAUAAUGGCAUCAAACAAUGAAUUUAAGAUAUAUCAAGGUUUAUUUUAGGGUAAAUAAUAGAACUAGAAUCGUUAUUACAAGAGAGCUCCUCUGUUUGUAUACCUAAGGCUACUUACUAGAGGCCACUAGAGGAGGGCACUGUGAAAAUUAAUUUCGAUCCCUCUUUUAAUGUGCAUGAAAACAGAUCAUUCUUAGGCAUUAUUAUACGAAACGAAGUGGGUUUGAUAAUGGGGGCUUGUACUUACCCUCACUCCCAUGUUGCAGAUGUGUUUAUGGCAGAGGCUCGGGCAUGCGAACAGGUGAUUUGGUUUGUGAGGGAGCUUGGGUUCUAUUCUGUUUAGAUCGAAGGGGACUCUCUUUCGAUUAUCAAAAAACUACAAUUGGACACACCAGAUAGGUCAAUUUUAGGCCCAAUCGUUGCAAACAUUAAGUAGAAAAUGGGUUUGUUUGCUACUAUUACCUUUCACCAUGUGAGGAGAGAUGCGAAUGAGGCAGCCCAUGUGUUGGCAAGGGAGGAACGUCAAUUAUCAGAGGGAUGGUUAUGGAUCGAAGAAGCACCGGAGUUGGUCGAGAGAGUGGCUGCGGUGGAUUGGUCAAAGUAUUGUCUUUCACGCUAAUCAGGUUUUUGCUUUGGUUUUUCGUAAAACUUCAUCUUUCACUCCGAUAAUCUACUAAAGCUUGUCUCUUUAUAGGAUUUUGUUCUUCUACUGAUUUUCUUCUCUGGUUUUGGAGAGUUUGUUGGUUUCUUGGCUUGUUUUUCUAGGAGGUUCUUUUAUGACAUUUCAAUUCUUUCUUGUUUAAGUUUUUCCUUUCCUUUCCGUUUUAUUUAUUUAGGCUUUAAUUUUUUUUGUUUUUGUUGUUUCCCGAUGAUGGGAUUGUGGAACACAUGGUAGGUUCACCUCCUAAUUUGUUUUAUGGAAGCCAACUAUUUAC
rnacentral:lncRNA from 1 species